UACGGGGGGAGCAAGCGUUGUUCGGAUUUACUGGGCGUAAAGGGUGCGUAGGCGGGUUUUUAAGUCAGAGGUGAAAUCCUGGAGCUCAACUCCAGAACUGCCUUUGAUACUGAGAAUCUUGAGUAUGGGAGAGGUGAGUGGAACUGCUAGUGUAGAGGUGAAAUUCGUAGAUAUUCGCAAGAACACCAGUGGCGAAGGCGGCUCACUGGCCCAUAACUGACGCUGAGGCACGAAAGCGUGGGGAGCAAACAGG
rnacentral:rRNA from 1 species